rnacentral:rRNA from 1 species
GACAGAGGCCCCAAGCGUUGUCCGGAAUCACUGGGCGUAAAGGGCGCGUAGGUGGCGUCGCAAGUCGAUGGUGAAAGCUCGUCGCUCAACGACGAGUCGGCCAUUGAUACUGCGAGGCUGGAGCACUGUAGAGGCAGAUGGAAUUCCGGGUGUAGCGGUGGAAUGCGUAGAGAGUCCGGAAGAACGACCGGUGGCGAGGCGGUCUGACUGGGGCAGUUGCUGG